GACGAACGCUGGCGGCGUGCUUAACACAUGCAAGUCGAACGGAAAGGCCUGCUUUCCCUUGUGGAUUGCGGGUACUCGAGUGGCGAACGGGUGAGUAACACGUGAGUGAUCUGCCCCCAACUUGGGUAUAAGCCUGGGAAACUGGGUCUAAUUCCCGAUAGGACUGCAGGGUGGUGCCUGUGGUGGAGAACGAUUUUCUAGUGGUUGGGGAUGAGCUCGCGGCCUAUCAGCUUGUUGGUGGGGUAAUGGCCUACCGAGGCGGCGACGGGUAGCCGGCCUGGGAGGGUGGACGGCCACAUUGGGACUGAGAUACGGCCCAGACUCCUACGGGAGGCAGCAGUGGGGAAUAUUGCACAAUGGGCGGAAGCCUGAUGCAGCGACGCCGCGUGGGGGAUGACGGCCUUCGGGUUGUAAACUCCUUUCGACCGCGAGGAAGCCACCUGGUUGGAAGGGUGGUGACGGUAGUGGUAGAAGAAGCACCGGCUAACUACGU
rnacentral:rRNA from 1 species